UGAGGGAAUAUUUGGGGUCAAUGGGCGGAAGCCUGAACCAGCCAAGUAGCGUGAGGGAUGACUGCCCUAUGGGUUGUAAACCUCUUUUAUAAGGGAAUAAAAUACGGGACGUGUCCUGUUUUGCAUGUACCUUAUGAAUAAGGACCGGCUAAUUCCGUGCCAGCAGCCGCGGUAAUACGGGGGAUGCGAGCGUUAUCCGGAUUCAUUGGGUUUAAAGGGUGCGUAGGCGGCCGAGUAAGUCAGCGGUGAAAGACCGGGGCUCAACCCUGGAAGUGCCGUUGAUACUGUUUGGCUGGAAUGAUCCCGCCGCGGGAGGAAUGAGUGGUGUAGCGGUGAAAUGCAUAGAUAUCACUCAGAACACCGAUUGCGAAGGCAUCUCGCGA
rnacentral:rRNA from 1 species